GCUUGUGUAGCUCAGUUGGUAGAGCUCAAGGCUCUUAACUUUGUGGUCUUGGAUUCGAGCCCCAAGAUUUGUG
rnacentral:tRNA from 1 species